rnacentral:rRNA from 1 species
GACGAACGCUGGCGGCGUGCUUAACACAUGCCAGUCGAACGGAAAGGCCCUGCUUUUGUGGGGUGCUCGAGUGGCGAACGGGUGAGUAACACGUGAGUAACCUGCCCUUGACUUUGGGAUAACUUCAGGAAACUGGGGCUAAUACCGGAUAGGAGCUCCUGCAGCAUGGUGGGGGUUGGAAAGUUUCGGCGGUUGGGGAUGGACUCGCGGCUUAUCAGCUUGUUGGUGGGGUAGUGGCUUACCAAGGCUUUGACGGGUAGCCGGCAUGAGAGGGUGACCGGGGUCCUUGGGCCUGAGGGACGGAGCAGACUCGAACGGGAGGCAGCAGGGGAGAAUAUUGCGGAAUAGGCGCAAGCCAGAGGCGGCAGCGCCGGGAGCGUGAUGACGGCCUUCGGGUUGUAAACCGCUUUCGCCUGUGACGAAGAGUGAGUGACGGUAAUGAGUAAAGAAGCACCGGCUAACUACGUG